CACGUAGUUAGCCGGUGCUUAUUCUUCAGGUACCGUCAUUAGUCAAAGAUAUUAGCUCCGACCGUUUCUUCCCUGACAAAAGAGCUUUACAACCCGAAGGCCUUCUUCACUCACGCGGCAUUGCUGGAUCAGGCUUGCGCCCAUUGUCCAAAAUUCCCCACUGCUGCCUCCCGUAGGAGUCUGGACCGUGUCUCAGUUCCAGUGUGGCUGGUCGUCCUCUCAGACCAGCUACUGAUCGUCGCCUUGGUGAGCCUUUACCUCACCAACUAGCUAAUCAGAUAUCGGCCGCUCCAGGAGCAUGAGGUUCUUGCGAAUCCCCCCACUUUCAUCCAUAGAUCGUAUGCGGUAUUAGCGUAACUUUCGCUACGUUAUCCCCCACUCUUGGGUACGUUCCGAUAUAUUACUCACCCGUUCGCCACUCGCCGCCAGGUUGCCCCGCGCUGCCGUUCGACUUGCAUGUGUAAAGCAUGCCGCCAGCGUUCAAUCUGAGCC
rnacentral:rRNA from 1 species